GCACUGGCCUGGAGGCAGGAAACCCCAAUAUCUCAAAGACCCCAGCUCCACCACUUCCUAGGUGCCUCAUUUCUACUGCAUCUCUCUAAUGUACGCUGCUCUGAAAUACAGGGAACAUUCUGUACUUGAUGAAAAACAAAAAAAGAAAAUGAACAUAAAAGUCCUUCUAAGUGAUCUACACCUAAAGCUUUCUGGCCUGAUCACUAGCGUAUAUAUGCCCGGCAACCAAACACCUCCAAACACUCAGUGGAUGGACAAGAACUCAAACCGCAGGUGUGGUUCUUCUGAGGAUCUAACACUUCUUGAGGGUGAAACUAAAAACUGGAUCUUGGAAAUAAGUAAAUGUGACAUAGGGCCCUUAAACAGCACACAGGUCUCAGCAGCAUGAUCAAAUCUAUAUUCAACCCAAGAAACCACGCA